GAUGAACGCUGGCGGCGUGCCUAAUACAUGCAAGUCGAGCGAACGGACGAGAAGCUUGCUUCUCUGAUGUUAGCGGCGGACGGGUGAGUAACACGUGGAUAACCUACCUAUAAGACUGGGAUAACUUCGGGAAACCGGAGCUAAUACCGGAUGAUAUUUUGAACCGCAUGGUUCAAAAGUGAAAGACGGUCUUGCUGUCCCUUAUAGAUGGAUCCGCGCUGCAUUAGCUAGUUGGUAAGGUAACGGCUUACCAAGGCAACGAUGCAUAGCCGACCUGAGAGGGUGAUCGGCCACACUGGAACUGGGACACGGUCCAGACUCCUACGGGAGGCAGCAGUAGGGAAUCUUCCGCAAUGGGCGAAAGCCUGACGGAGCAACGCCGCGUGAGUGAGGAAGGUCUUCGGAUCGUAAAACUCUGUUAUUAGGGAAGAACAUAUGUGUAAGUAACUGUGCACAUCUUGACGGUACCUAAUCAGAAAGCCACGGCUAACUACGUG
rnacentral:rRNA from 1 species